AAAUUGAAGAGUUUGAUCAUGGCUCAGAUUGAACGCUGGCGGCAGGCCUAACACAUGCAAGUCGAACGGUAGCACAGAGAGCUUGCUCUCGGGUGACGAGUGGCGGACGGGUGAGUAAUGUCUGGGAAACUGCCUGAUGGAGGGGGAUAACUACUGGAAACGGUGGCUAAUACCGCAUAACGUCGCAAGACCAAAGAGGGGGACCUUCGGGCCUCUUGCCAUCAGAUGUGCCCAGAUGGGAUUAGCUGGUUGGUGAGGUAACGGCUCACCAAGGCGACGAUCCCUAGCUGGUCUGAGAGGAUGACCAGCCACACUGGAACUGAGACACGGUCCA
rnacentral:rRNA from 4 species